AAGACUUCACAAUGAGGAGAUAGCCAUGCGCAGGACAUUGAUCUAAGCCUCUCCCAAUUCUCUAGUAACCUCACUGGGCCAGGCAGGGUUCAAUAUACCUCUUCACCAGUGGCAUGGCUUCUGAUCACACUUGGUGCCACC
rnacentral:lncRNA from 1 species